GGGCAGAUGGCCGAGUGGUCCAAGGCGCCGUGUUUAGGCCGCGGUCCCGAAAGGGGCGUGGGUUCAAACCCCACUCUGCUCA